rnacentral:snRNA from 1 species
AGUGACGCUUGAGACGAAACUAA